rnacentral:rRNA from 1 species
UACCAGCACCCCGAGUGGUCGGGACGAUUAUUGGGCCUAAAGCAUCCGUAGCCGGUCCUACAAGUCUUCCGUUAAAUCCACCUGCUUAACAGAUGGGCUGCGGAAGAUACUAUAGGGCUAGGAGGCGGGAGAGGCAAGCGGUACUCAGUGGGUAGGGGUAAAAUCCGUUGAUCCAUUGAAGACCACCAGUGGCGAAGGCGGCUUGCCAGAAUGCGCUCGACGGUGAGGGAUGAAAGCUGGGGGAGCAAACCGG